UUGGGCAUGCAGGCACACACACGUCUGGCAUGUUUUUCAAGUUGAUGGGUCUGGGAUACAAAUCGUGUAUUUGGCCACGUGGGAUUCAGUUGCCUGCAAAUUCACCUUGCUGGCCGCAGAUCUGAUCCCUGCCUCGAAGCCAGUCGGGACUCUCCUCUGUAGUUGUCCAAAGCUCCUGGCCUUCGAGAUCUCUUUAUGGCAUAAACUAAUCUGUGACCUGAGUGACCGUCCCCUGCACUGUCCUCUGGGCCGAGUUUCUGCCCUCCCGCAUGCUCCCUGGAGUGCCCGAGUCAAACCCUGGUGGGCCCUCAAGUUGAAAUGCCUGCAGGAUCCGAAUACCAGGCCCGCUGCUUCCCAGCUGUGUGACACGGGUAAGCCCCUUGGCCUCUCUGUGUAAGGGUGCUGCCUGACUCAGCUGUGUCAGCAGUGACUCCUCCCUCGUGGCAGGCAGACGUGAUGUCACGCACUGGUCUCCACAGCACCUGUGACCUAGUAGACGUUUAAGCAGUGCCGAGCAGUGACGACGGCGGGGUGAAUGACCCCAUGGUGGGACUCCACUUGUGGAACUCCUCUGCUGCACUCUUCAGAGUGGAACACGAGCAAGGUAGGUGCGAUGCCAUGGGCCCUGCGAGCCUUACCAACCUUCGCUCGUGGCCCUCCACAGUGACUGUCAACCCGGCCUACCUGACCUCGUCCCAUAAAGCUGCCCGGUCCUUUCCUGUCUCUUUGGCUCCAGUUCCAGAGCUUCCGGUCUCUGGAGUGCGCCGUCCUGCUUCAUCUGUAAAGGCGUCCUCUGAUUUGUCUGUGAGUGACAUGUGUCUCAUGGCUUCGGAAACACUGCCGUUCCCCUCCGCGUUAGCGCCUUCGGCUGCGGGCGUAAUACAGCAGACCCGAGUCAGCUUAACUGGCGCAUGUCCUCUCUGCAGGUCCCCGCUCCCCACUGCCUCACAGAAGCCCAGGCAGGCCGCCAGCAGUCACCUCUGCCUGGGGAGCCACCGAGUGGAGCCCGACAGGUGCUGCUCCGGGCCUCUGCCAUCAGGCCUAAGAAUGGGUUCAGUCUUUCUCUGUCCCAGAGACCUCUAAAAGUCCCCAGCUUCCAUCUGGGAGGAAAAGGCCGGAUUAACCUCUGGAGAGAGCAGAGCUGGGCAGUGAGGAACACCUGGACCCUUGGGGCAGUGAGGCCUCCACCAGAGCUCAGGACACGGAGCAGCCCUGCCUACCUCCGGACUCCGUUUGACCCCUGUAGGUAAGAAGUCCUGUUUGGCCGUCUGGGUUCACCUGGUGACAAGCACACACAGGUUCUCAAGGAGAAAACGUGCAAGUCAGACUGGAGAGCAGAAGGGUCCGGACGAGGACAGGGUCAGUGCCGGGCUCAGGGAUGGGAGCAGGGUGACUCUCUCUAAUGCAAAGCCACACAGCCCACUGCCACGUUGUUUCUGUGGCUAACGGUGUGGCACGUUCCCUAGCCUGGCAAGUCUGGCUACUAGGGCUCUGGGCAGAUUUGCCACGUAAGCCGGCCUACAGCCGGGAGAGCCUGAGACCGAUCCAACCUGGCCACAGAACUUGCCUCACACGUGCUCGGCGAGGUGGUCAUUGUUUUUAAAUUGGCGAGGCGUGGUCUCCAGCAUCGCAGGACUCCCGUGGCUCCUGUCCAGGCUGUGCCUGUGUUCCCAGGGCCUCAGACACACUAUAGCGCCUAUCACGCUGCAUGGAGGCCACUCCUCGCCCUCCCUGGAGGGCAGGGCCCUCCUUUGUCUAUGUGCACACCCAGAACGGACGAUGCCACGGCAACCCUAGUUGACCAAAGCCUCCGAGUGAAGAGAAAACCAACUCGCCACGUCCCCAUCGCCCCACGUGGCUCUGAGGCAGUCCUGGCUGGCCUGUGUUCCUCAGACUCUUAGAGAAUUCCGAAAGCAUCCCCUGCCGACCCCCACCACCGGCUGAGCGGCUGAGCGCGGGGCUGUGUGAAGGGCCUGUCUGUCCCGACCUCCGAGGCGUUCUCUGAGUUGCGCCAGAAGCGUGAAAUGGAAGCAGAAGCUGACGAGCGCCUCAAGAUGGGGAGAGAGGAGAGUGACACAGGGCCGGUCUCAGCACGCCCGGGGAGGAGGGAGACCUAACGCUCCCUCUGGACCCUCUGUUCUGCUAGGGCUAGGACCCCUCUCCGG